rnacentral:lncRNA from 1 species
CAGUGGGGAGAGGUGCCAGGCUCUUUUUAACAAACAGCUCUCAUGGGAAGUGGGAAGUAACAGAGGGAGAACUCACUCAUUACCAUGAGGACAGCACCAAGCCAUUCAUGAGGGAUCCAUUGCCAUGACCCAAACACCUCCCACUAGGUCCCGUCUCUAAUGUUGGGAUCAAAUUUCAACCUGAGGUUUGGAGGGUCAGCUAUCCAAACUAUAGCAAUCCUGUUCCAAUAAUGCAGGCUACUUUGAUCUUUCU